UAAGUUGGUAGUGAAAGCGUUCGGCUCAACCGGAUACACAUUAUCAAAACUGCAAAGCUAGAGGGCGAGAGAGGUUACUGGAAUUCCCAGUGUAGGAGUGAAAUCCGUAGAUAUUGGGAGGAACACCGAUGGCGUAGGCAGGUAGCUGGCUCGUCCCUGACACUAAGGCACGAAAGCGUGGGGAGCGGACGGGAUUAGAUACCCCGGUAGUCCACGCCGUAAACUAUGGAUGCUA
rnacentral:rRNA from 1 species